GUGAGAUGGAAUCAACGUUUAGACAUGCGAUUUUACGUUGAUUCCAUCUCAUGA
rfam:Solanum lycopersicum cultivar Heinz 1706 chromosome 2, whole genome shotgun sequence.